CUCACACACAUACACAUUCUCUCACACACACAUUCUGUCACACACAUACACAUUCUCACACACAUACAUUCUCACACAUACACACAUUCUCACACACACACAUUCUCUCACACACACAUUCUCACACACAUACACACAUUCUCACACACAUUCUCUCACACACACAUACACACAUUCUUUCACACACAUACAUUCACACACAUUCUCACACACAUUCUCUCACACACAUACAGACAUUCACACACGCUCUCACACACAUACACAUUCUCACACACACAUUCUCUCACACCACAUGCACAUUCUCUCACACACACAUUCUCUCUCACACACACAUACACACAUUCUCACACACACAUUCUCUCACACACAUACACACUCUCUCUUACACACAUUCUCACACACACAUUCUCUCUCACAAACACACAUUGUCACACACAUUCACACACAUUCUCUCACACAAACACAUUUUCACACACAUACACAUUCACACACACACAUACACACAUUCUCUCACACACAUUCUCACAUACAUACACACAUUCUCUCACACCCACAUACACACAUUCUGUCACACACAUACACACAUUCUCUCACACACAUACACAUUCUCACACACACAUUCUCUCACACACACACAUUCUCACACACACACAUUCUCUCACACACACAUUCUCUCACACACAUUCUCUCUCACACACACAUACACACAUUCUCUCACACACACAUUCUCUCACACACACAUUCUCACAUACACACAUAUAUUCUCUCACACACAUACACAUUCUCACACACACAAACACAAAUUCUCUCACUCACACAUUCUCACACAUUCUCUCACACACACAUACACACAUUCUCUCACACACAUACACACAUUCUCUCUCACACACACACACAUUCUCUCUCACACACACAUACACACUCACACACACAUUCUCACACACACAAACACAAAUUCUCUCACUCACACAUUCUCACACAUUCUCUCACACACACAUACACACAUUCUCUCACACACAUACACACAUUCUCUCUCACACACACAUACACACAUUCUCUCUCACAUACACACAUUCUCUCACACACACACAUUUUCUCACACACACAUACACACAUUCACACACACACUCACACACACACUCUCACACACACAUAACUCCUUUGAUUCUCCUUUGAACUUGGUUUUUCAAUCUUGC
rnacentral:lncRNA from 13 species